CACCGGCGGCGAAGGCGGCUUUCUGGACAGCAACUGACGCUGAGGCACGAAAGUGUGGGUAGCAAACAGGAUUAGAUACCCUGGUAGUCCACACCGUAAACGAUGAGCACUAGGUGUCGGGGUCGAUAGACUUCGGUGCCGCAGUUAACGCAUUAAGUGCUCCGCCUGGGGAGUACGGUCGCAAGACU
rnacentral:rRNA from 1 species